ACUUCUUUAGUAUAACAAGUACCUCUUCCUUCCAAGUAGAAAGCCUAGUACACCACUAGAAGAAGUA
rnacentral:tRNA from 1 species